rnacentral:piRNA from 1 species
UACGGCGAAGCUUGACAGUGAUUGCCUGU